rnacentral:rRNA from 1 species
GACGUAGGUGGCAAGCGUUGUCCGGAUUUAUUGGGCGUAAAGAGCGUGUAGGCGGCUAGGUAGGUCCGUUGUGAAAACUCGAGGCUCAACCUCGAGACGCCGAUGGAAACCAUCUAGCUAGAGUCCGGAAGAGGAGAGUGGAAUUCCUGGUGUAGCGGUGAAAUGCGCAGAUAUCAGGAAGAACACCCGUGGCUAAGGCGGCUCUCUAGUACGGUACUGACGCUGAGACGCGAAAGCGUGGGGAGCGAACAGG